GGCGCCGUAGCCAAGUGGUAAGGCAGGGGUCUGCAAAACCCUCAUCCCCGGUUCGAAUCCGGGCGGCGCCUCCA
rnacentral:tRNA from 1 species